rnacentral:lncRNA from 1 species
CAACGCAUUAGGCAGUGUCCUUUUUUUCAGGCACGAGAAAGGAUCACUAAAUAGAAAGCUUCAGAGUCAUUUUUUUGUUCCUUCCUUCCUCGUUACCAAGUGGAACGAUGAGAAUAAUCUGUACAUCCUUCCCUGAUGAUUCAGCUGCAUUUGAUCGACAGACCCAUCUUCAAACUGAGGUUCUAUUAUCAUAUGAUCACAUAGAGGCUGAGGAUCAUAAAUUCGGAACAAGUUUAGUCUUCUACAUCAUGGAAACACUUAUGUUUAUGAAAGGUUACUCAUCGGAUUCAACUAACAAAACUGUAUGAUAAAUAAUACAAAAUCCUUUAAUUAUACUCGGAAUACGA